rnacentral:lncRNA from 1 species
UAAAAAUGAUUGACGCCUGUAUAUAUAUAUAGAGCAGGGCUACUAUACUAUUAUGAUCAUUGGACCCUUCGUACUUAUAAGUUGUUUUCGAUGAUGGAGCUUCCAAAUCGACGAUCCACUCCGUUAAAUAUGAUCUAGAAUAUUUGAAAUUUCUAGAAAAUAAAUUUCGUAAUUUUUUUAAAUCAUAAUAAAGUCCAUCAAGCGGGCAUAAAAUGAACAGUCAAAAUCGAACGAUGUCUUAAAAAUGGAUGAUCGGAUCCUUCAAUUUAAGAUCAGAGUUGUUGAUCUUUAUCUAGAUAG